GAUGAACGCUAGCUACAGGCUUAACACAUGCAAGUCGAGCGACCGGCGCACGUGUGAAUUACACGUAUCCCACCUGCCCUUUACUGGGUGAUAGCCUUUCGAAAUAACUAUUAAUACCCGAUAUGAAGGAUGGGGAUGGGUUACCUUAGUUUGUUGGUUAGGUACCGGCUCACCAAACCUUCGAUGGAUGGGCGUUCUGAGAGGAAGGCACCCCAGAUUGGAGACGAGGCACGGUCUAAUCUGCGACGGGAGGCUGGAGUGAGGUGUAUUGGUCAAUGGGCGCUAGCCUGAACCAGCCAAGUAGAGUGAAGAAUGAAGGGGUAUGGGUCGUAAUUUUCUGUUAUAGAAGAAUCGGUAUUAUAUGAAUAAGGACCGGCUAACUCCGUGCCAGCCGCCGCGGUAAUAC
rnacentral:rRNA from 1 species